rnacentral:rRNA from 1 species
AUACGAAUGGGGCAAGCGUUGUUCGGAAUCACUGGGCUUAAAGCGUAUGUAGGCGGACUUACAAGUCAGGCGUGAAAUCCCGAGGCUCAACCUCGGAACUGCGUUUGAAACUGUAAGUCUAGAAUCCGGGAGAGGUUAGUAGAAUUCCUAGUGUAGAGGUGAAAUUCGCAGAUAUUAGGAGGAAUACCAGUGGCGAAGGCGACUGACUGGACCGGUAUUGACGCUGAGAUACGAAAGCGUGGGGAGCAAACAGGAUUAGAUACCCUGGUAGUCCACGCCGUAAACGAUGUGUGCUAGUUGUCAGGCCUUAGGGUUUGGUGACGGAGAGAAAUUUUUAAGCACACCGCCUGGGGAGUACGGUCGCAAGACUAAA